rnacentral:rRNA from 1 species
GACGAACGCUGGCGGCGUGCCUAAUACAUGCAAGUAGGACGCAGUUGCGAACGGGUGAGUAACGCGUAGGUAACUACCUAUUAGAGGGGGAUAACUAUUGGAAACGAUAGCUAAUACCGCAUACUAGUAGAUGGACCUGCGUUGUAUUAGCUAGUAGGUAGGGUAAUGGCCUACCUAGGCAACGAUACAUAGCCGACCUGGGAAGGUGAUACGCUACGUUGGGAUUGGGACACGGCCGAGACUCCGACGGGAGGCAGGAGUAGGGAAUCUUCGGCAAUGGGGGGAAUCCUGACCGAGCAACGCCGCGUUAGGGAAGAAGAUUGUCGGAUCGUAAAGCUCUGUUGUUAAGGAAGCGGUACUUAACAAGAAAGGGACGGCUAACUACGUGCCAGCAGCCGCGGUAAUUC